CCAAAAUAAGCCUUUCUGUUGUGACACAGCAUAAACUACCCUAUCCUGACUGAUACGUAGAGCAUGGUUAGGCCAGGCACAGGGGCUCUUGCCUAUAAUCCCAGCACUUUGGGAGGCCGAGACAGGAGGAUCACUUGAGCCCAGGGGUUUGAGACCAGCCUGGGCAAUAACAUAAUUUUGUAGAGACCUGGUCUCUACAAAAAAUACGCAAAAUUAACUGGAUGUGGUGGCUCAUGCCUGUAGUUUCAGCCACCGCAGAAGCUGAGGUGGUGAGAUUACUUGAGCCUGGGAGGUUGAAGCUGCAGUGAGCUGAGAUCGUGCCACUCCGCUCCAGCCUGGAUGACAAAGUGAGACCAUCUCAAAAAAAAAGAAAGAAAGAAUUUAAAGAGUUUUUGUGGAGGUUAUUAAACUGGUGACAAAUGAAACUCUCUAAAGGACAAAAGGAAUUUAAAAAAAAUAGAUGCCUAGAAAGGUAUCAUUAGGAAAUUAAUCAAAAAGUUAAAGGUACUACUUUGUAGGAAGGUUGUGGGUGACUUUAUCUUAAUAAUAUUUGUACGUUUUUAAAAAAGAAGCAUCCAUACCAUAAGAUUCCAACUGUAUGACACCAGACAGGGAAAAACUAUGAAGACAGUAUAAAGAUCAGAGGCUGCCAGCAGUUGUGGGGAGGGAGGAAUGAAUCAGCAAAGCACAGACUACUUUUAGGGCAGUGAAACUGUUCUCUAUAAUACUGCAAAUGGUGGAUGUCAUUUUAUCAUUUCUCCAAACCCAUAGAAUAUGCAACACUGAGUGAACCCUGUCGUGAACUAUGGACUCUGGGUAAUAAUGAUGUAUCAAUGUCAGGUGUACCAGCUGUAACAUGUACAACUCUGCUGGGGAAUGUGGGUGGUGUGGAAGAAAGACUGUGUAUGUGUGAGGGCAGGGAAUAUCAGGGAAAUCUUUGUACCUUCCUCCCAAUUUUGCUGUGAACUUAAAACUGCUCUAAAAAAUAAAGUCUAUUUAAAAGGAAAAAAA
rnacentral:lncRNA from 1 species